GUGAUCAUUCUCAUUAGCUCACAGAGAGGCAAAAUUUUGUAUGACAAGUACAGUAUCAAAACACAAGCAUCUAGUGAUAAUGUUAGGGUGAUCCUGUAGGAUGAACAAAUGGGGUCAUCUCAGUGCUAAAAGGCUGGCACCACAGCUGGCUCACGAUCCCACUAAUAAAAAGUUGUCUUCCCUCUACAGAGAGAUCUGCAGAAGUGUCCCGCAUUCAGCAUUUCAUAGAAGAGGCAUUUGGCUCAAACUAGAGUGAAGAAAAAAUACUUUUUCUACUCGUCACAGUGUUUCCACAGACAGUGGAGAAGAAGUCUGCAGCAAUGACCAAGUCUUCACAGUUCAGUGGAUUUUUCUAAGAGUAGAGAAAAUUCCAUGUUAAAUUUAAUACUGAUGAAGUUCACAGUGUAUUUUGAGCCUCUUUUGCACCAUCGUCAUUGUUCUUCUGGCACAUCUGCUACAGAUUUGAUGUAUACAGAUGUAUCUGAGGGAAGACGGAUAGUGUAGGAGUGAAGAAGAUUUCUACAAAUGGCUCUUUAAAGCAGAGCAGGUAUACUAGGAAAAACAAAAAACAAAACAAAAACGAAAAAAACAACCGAAAAACAAAAGGACGUUUCUGAUUCUAUGACUCCCCUGAAGGAGGUUUGUGACCCCAUGGGAAGUUAGUGCUGGAGCAGGCUCCUGUGGACCCGUGAAGAGAGGAGCCCACACUGGAGCAAGUUUUGCAGCAGGACUUGUGACCCCAUGGGGAACCCACUCUGGAGCAGUAUGUUUCUGAAGGACUGCACCCUCUGGAAAGCACCCACACUGAAGCAGUUUGUGAAGAACUGCAGCCUGUGAGAAGGACCCACAUUGGAGAAGUUCAUGGAGGACUGUCUCCCGUGCUGGAGCAGGGGAAGACUGUGAGGAGUCCUCCCACUGAGGAGGAAGGAGCAGCAGAAGCAACAUGUGAUGUACUGACCGCUACCCCUGUUUGCUGUCCUCCUGUGCUGCUCAGGGGGAGAAGCUAGAGAAUUCAGGAGUGAAAUUGAGCAUGGGAAGGAGGGAGGUAGGGGUGGGGGAAGGUGUUUUAAGAUUUAGUUUUUAUUUCUCAUUAUCCUACUCUGCUUUGAUUGGUAAU
rnacentral:lncRNA from 1 species